rnacentral:rRNA from 1 species
UACGUAGGGACCGAGCGUUGUCCGGAAUCAUUGGGCGUAAAGAGCGUGUAGGCGGCCACUUAAGUCCUGCGUGAAAUCUUGCGGCUCAACCGCAAGCGGUCGUGGGAAACUGGGUGGCUAGAGUGCGGGAGAGGAGAGUGGAAUUCCUGGUGUAGCGGUGAAAUGCGCAGAUAUCAGGAGGAACACCGGUGGCGAAGGCGGAUCUCUGGGCCAUUACUGACGCUGAGGAGCGAAAGCGUGGGGAGCGAACAGG